rnacentral:rRNA from 1 species
CCCUCAGAUGUUCUGGGCCGCACGCGCGCUACAAUGGUCUUCGCAAACGGAUGCAUUCUCGAAGGAGAAUGCCAAUCUUGGAAUCUAUGCCUUGGUCGGGACAGUUGCUUGCAAUUUUUCGACUCGAACCAGGAAUUCCUUGUAAUCGUGAUUCAUCACAUCACGAUGAAUACGUCCCUGCCCUUUGUACACACCGCCCGUCGCUCCUACCGAUCGAAGAGUUAGGUGAAUUGUUUUGAUCGAUAAGAUUUGACUAUGGUCAACUCUCGUUGUGAAAUUCUGUGAAUCUGACUGUUUAGAGGAAGGAAAAGUCGUAACA